UUUGUUUGCUAAGCGUGGGUGCUGUCAAUGCCACAAAGAGCAUUUAAUUGAGUAUUUGGGGGGAGAAGGAAUGAAGGGAAACAAGAGAGGGAAUAUAUAACUGUGGCAUGAUAUUUUUCCCCAAAACCAAGCUUUGUGAAUUCAACAUCACGCAUAGCAGGUAAGGAGUAAACAUUCUACCUUAUAAUCAGCAAGAUCCCUUUGCAGUCUGGGCAGAGACUUCAGACAGGAACACUCACCUGCAUCUCUGCUUGCAAUCAGGCAGCUAGUGUUCAGGAUAUCUUAAUGAGCCUAAUUGACAACAUGCAACCCUGAGUCCCCAGAGAACAGAGAGAGAAACCAGCCAUAGGAAAGCAGACAGAAGUGGAACCGCAGGUACACAGCUCCUGCUGCCCCUCUGGUUUUCUCAGCCUUCCAGCCUGAUAGGAAGGGUUGAUUCUGAUGUGCUGAAUCAAGGUUACUUAUGUGAGGCUGGCAACCAGUGGAAGCAAUUGAGGGGAAAUUGCUGAAGCGAAAUCAGCAAAGUAUCAGUGAUGCAGCAUUCUAUGAUAUUUUGCAGAUAUCACCAGGUUUAAUUUCUUGGCAGCACUUGGGAUAAACAGCACUUACUGUCACAAUGAUCAUUGGCAUCCUCAUACUAAGUUUAAAGGCACAAUAGAAAUAUAGAGAUUUUUUUAAGCACUUUUCUCUGGUCUCCGGAAUCUGAACAGUUUAUUUAAAAACCAAAAUUUUCUCAGUGGACAAGUUUUACCUACAUUCUCAAAGCUUACGAUUCCACCAAGAUUUGAUAGUCUUUGAAUAAAAUGCUCCGAUUAACACCACCCAUA